CAAUAGCGUAUACUAAUGUUGUUGCAGUUAAAAAGCUCGUAGUUGAACUUCUGGUAGGAGUGUCCCGGCCUUUUUGUUUUUACAAAUUGUAUGCUGUGUGACAUCUCUGGCCAUCCUUCUUCUUUGUUUAAAGAAGAUCUUUCACUGUAAAAAAAUUAGGGUGUUCAAAGCAAAAGUUUCUUUGGAAUAUAUUAGUACGGGAUGAUAAGAUAGGCUCUAGAUGCUAUUUUGUUGGUUUGCACAUUUAGAGAAUGAUUAACAGGGACAGUUGGGGGUAUUCGUAUUUACAUGUCAGAGGUGAAAUUCUUGGAUUUUGGAAAGACGAACUACUGCGAAAGCAUUUACCAAGGAUGUUUUCAUUAA
rnacentral:rRNA from 1 species